AUGGCCUGGGUACACCUGCUCCUCAGUCUCCUCGCUCACUGCACAGGGUCCUGGGCCCAGUCUGUGCUGACUCAGCCACCCUCAGUGUCGGGGGCCCUGGGUCAGACAGUUACCAUCUCCUGCUCUGGAAGCACAACUAGCUUUGAUAUUAUUGGUGUGAAGUGGUAUAAGCAGCUUCCGGGAAAUCCCCCUAAACUUCUCAUAUAUGGUAAUAACAAGAGACCCUCAGGUAUUCCUGACCGAUUCUCUGGUUCCAAGUCUGGAAGCUCAGGUUCUCUGACCGUCACUGGGCUCCAGGCUGAAGAUGAGGCUGAUUAUUAUUGCCAGUCUGUUGAUUUUAGUUUCAGAGUGGAUUCUCAGAAUAUGGUGACCCAGUUGCCAUCACUAACCAUUUCUCCAGGAGGAACAGUCACACUUACCUGUGCCCUUAGUUCUGGUUUAGUCUCUACGGAUCACUACCUGAGCUGGUACCAGCAGAACCCAGGACAGCCUCCUCACAUGAUUAUCUACAGCACAAUCAACUGCCCCUCAGGGGUCCCUGACCGCUUCUCUGGAUCCAUCUCUGGGAACAAAGCUACCCUCAUCAUCACAGGGGCCCAGGCUGAGGAUGAGGCUAUUAUUGUGUUCUGUGUUUUGGUGGUUAUACUUACACAGUGA